AACGAACGCUGGCGGCAUGCCUAACACAUGCAAGUCGAACGAGACCUUCGGGUCUAGUGGCGCACGGGUGCGUAACGCGUGGGAACCUGCCCUUAGGUUCGGAAUAACUCCCCGAAAGGGGUGCUAAUACCGGAUAAUGUCUUCGGACCAAAGAUUUAUCGCCUUUGGAUGGGCCCGCGUUGUAUUAGCUAGUUGGUAGGGUAAAAGCCUACCAAGGCGACGAUCCAUAGCUGGUCUGAGAGGAUGAUCAGCCACACUGGGACUGAGACACGGCCCAGACUCCUACGGGAGGCAGCAGUGGGGAAUAUUGGACAAUGGGCGAAAGGCUGAUCCAGCAAUGCCGCGUGAGUGAUGAAGGCCUUAGGGUUGUAAAGCUCUUUUACCCGGGAUGAUAAUGACAGUACCGGGAGAAUAAGCUCCGGCUAACUCCGUG
rnacentral:rRNA from 1 species